rnacentral:lncRNA from 1 species
GACGAUGCUAAACUCCAGAAUGUUCCUGUGAGGGCCGCUGAGCCCAGAGACUAACUCCUGGGACUUUGCCCCACCCCUCAUCUGGACUGUGUUCUGCAUCUUGCCUACUUCAACAAGGGUCCCCAAGUUUGCCCUAGGUGACCACGUUUAGGGAGCAGCUGUGAGGAGCUGGUGCAGGGGAGGAAUCCAGCGUCCGUGAUUGAUCGUGAGACCACCUGGAGGCUCUGUCUGCACCUGUGGCCUCGGGCACAGCCGCACGAGUGAGAGUUGGCUCAGGGUCGGAGACCAGUUUAAGGAACUGUCCUGUGACCGUCUUGGGGGGGGCGCCUCCCUGUUCCCAUGGAAACGAAGCCAUGGUGAUCUGCUCAGGUAAGGAGGGGGCAGGGAUCUUCACCAUAUUCUCCCAAGUGCUUAAUUCAUAUCAUUGAUUGAUUGAUUGGGAGGGGGAGCUGACAGGGAA